rnacentral:rRNA from 1 species
AUGCCCCUGGACUUCACCAAGCACUUCCCGGCGGUGCCGCAAGAGUUCAAGCUAAGGACCAACACUGGUUGCUCAUGGAAGGUGACUGUUCGGUUGAUGGACGGCAGGGUGACCCUCGAUCAGGGUUGGGCCACCUUUGCCGUUGUCCAUCAAAUCAGGAUCGACUACAUGGUGAAGUUCAAGCUGCUCACUCUCGACACGCUCAAGGUCACCGUCUUCAACGACAAAGGCAUUGAAGUGGUGACCAAGUGUGGCAAGCACAAUGAUGCCUUCACCAUGAAUGUCUAG